rnacentral:lncRNA from 1 species
GACAUGGGUGAGUAUCUCGGAGCUGAAAACAAUUCUCAGAUUCCAAAGUCAGUCUUUAUAGUUAGUACUGGUCAACUUAUUGGUAUCGAGAAUACAGGCUAAAGGGUUGGUACUCGACAUGGUUAUCUACAGAGAGAACAGUUUUUAGUUAGAUGCUUGUACUUAUAAGAUUGUUUGUUCUAUAAACUUUUAAAAUAAAUAAAGGCUCUCAUUAUU